AUUCCAUAUGGUCAUCACGUUACUCUUGUCUAUAUGUUUCAGCUUCAACUUCUAUCCAACGGUUUCAGAUUGCUCAAAGUAGGUGGAUCUCUUGUGUACAGCACUUGCAGUUUAACUGUUCCCAGAAUGAAGGUGUGGUCGAGAAAUUCCUUUCUCAAAACAAAUCUGCUGGCUUGCUGGAGAUAGAUUGUGCAAGAACGUGGCCUUAUAAGAGCGGGCAGAUACCUAAAACUUUGCGCUUUGAUCCUAAUACAUCAUGU